CUCCCGGAUCCUGCCCUCCCCGAAAUAAACAACAGGUACCCAAGUCCUUAUCUCCUACUCUACGAAGUAAUAUAGACAUUUCCAAAAAUGUCAUCCAGGUAGGAGAUGGAAGCCACUUGGAAAUUUGGAGCAGCCUGACCUACCUGGCGGAGUGUCUCAACCGCUCCCUGAAGGUGCUGAGCCGGGCUGGUGGAGUGCCGGUUCCUCCAGGGUGGAGGUGAUAAAGAGUCAAGCCGGGAUUCUUUGCUCAAGUCCCUGGGUCCAGCCCACACUCAAGGGAAAGGGAUCACACAACCAUGGAAUGCCAAGAGGUGGAGAUCCUUGGGAGCCAUGUUGGAGGCUGCCUACCACACGAGGAUGGACUAGGAUUCCCACAUCUGUCUGUGUUUGUUCCUGAGCUCUUCAUUCUGUUCUCUUCUAUUUUUCUGUUCAAGUUACUCUCAAUAUGUGGCAUUGGGACCCCUGGAUAUCCUCAAGACCCUUUCAGGGAAUAUUCAAGGUCAAAACUCUUAUAGUAUUGCUGAUGAGAUUGACGGUGAUAUUGGCAAAUGUGAUUUUUUGAUAUUAUAUAGUGAAAAGUGUCAACAUCUGGAGUAUCUGCAUGAUUUGAUGAACCAACUUUUUCUCCCAAAUGACCAAUACGUGCUGUUACAAAGUUGUACACUGGUAAGGAUCUAUUCAGAGAGAGAGAGAUGGGCCAAUGGAUUUUAAUGUAACAGUAUAAACAUUCAUUGAUGUGGUUUUAGAUUCUACAUGCAAUUAAGUGUUUUAUGAGUUGAUAUGGUGUCAAAGAAGAAUAUUCAUAAUUAUCUAAAAAGACUAUUAAUUACUUCUGCUUUUUCCAACAACAAUGUGUAUGAAACUGGGCUUUCUUCAUAAACUUCAACAAAACAACUUAUUGCAACAGUUUGAAUGCAGAAGCAAAUACGUGAAUCCAGCUGCCUUCUAUUCAGUUAGAUAUUAAAGAGAUUGCCAAAAAUAUAUAAAACAAUGUUGCUCUUCUCACUAAAUGCAUUUUGUUUUGGAAAAUAUAGUUGUUUGUUUAAAAUAUGCUACUUAUGAUCACAUGUAAUGGCUUUAUUGUUGAUAUUCUUGUAUGACUUGAUAAAUAAGUAUUUUUAAAGUGUCUCAAUUUUAAUUUCUCAUAGAGUUAAUAUGGAUAGAUAUAACCUAUAUAACGAAAGCUCUUUGGGGUCACCAAUAUUUUUUAAGAGUAUAAAGGGGUUCUGAGACCAAAAGGUUGAGAACUGCUAUUUUAUGUUUUCACACGUUUUUGAUUCCCUCUAGUUUCUGGGGUGGCCGUGGGGCUCACUUGGGUUUCCAGGUGCAACAGGGAUGUCCUCACCAAGCUGCCCCUGAGCUGUCAUUUUUGCCUGUGGACCUGUCUACCUCAUCUCCUUUCCUUCCUAUUUCCCAAGAUGGUUAUCCAGCCUUCUCAGCCAUUCUGGGAAGCAAGAGGUACCCCAGGUCCUUUAAAUGAAUCCCAUUGAUUCGAGUGUCCUUUUUUGUCUUACCAUAAAAUAUAAUUUUUUCCUCAUAAGUCCUGCCUAUAUUAGUUUGUUGAUAGGUAUUUGGCUAUUCUUGUUGCAAUAGUCCAUCAGAAUUCUCUAUGUUUGUGAAGCAAAUAUAGAGACUGAUUUUUUAAAAAUUGAAGUUCAAGUUAAACUGUACUAUGAUUCUACUGUGACAAAGAAGUCUGUGGCUUCCAGUUAUAAGUAGGCUAUACCAUCUAGGUUUGUGUAAGUACACUCUAUGAUGUUUGCACAAUGACAAAAUGGCCUAACGACACAUUUCUUGGAACAUGUCCCCGUCAUUAGGCGACACAAGACUGUAUUAUAUACUUGGAAGUUGUAUAUAAGUAUAUACAACUAAGAUCCACAUGUUCUCACUGAACACACAGAAACACAAUUAUGAGAGGUGAUGGAGGUGUUAACUAACCUUAUUGUUGUAAUAAUUUCAUAAUAUAUAUGUAUCAAAUUAUCACAUAUACACGAACACCUGUAUCACAUAUACUCAUAGGAUUUCAUAUGUAUGAAAUCAUCACAUUGUACACCUCACACAAUGUUAUAUGUCAAUUAUAUCUCAAUAAGGCUGGAAAAAUGUAUAUAUAGAGGAAGUUGUGGGAAGUUCUUGUUACAACAGUGAAACGUUGUCGAUUUUGGCCAAGACUCAGUGAUGCAGAGUAUCAUCCUAGGUUGAAAGUCUCUAGUCUCAGUCCAUUUCUUGUAACAGAAUCUUUGCAGAGUAACAAAGUAUGAAAGUAACAAAUGAAGCACCACUGCUCACUAGCACAUUCUCAUGUCCAAGUUGUUGGUGGGAUGUUUCUCUUUUGAAAACUGGAUUUAAGAACAUAUUUAACUGCCUCCAUCAAAAUAUUAAAUUAGAUAGAGGUUACCUGUUGGUUAUCAGAAUACAUUAAAUUGAAGGAAGGAUAUUGGAUGCAAAAUUGUACAACUAUAUACUCCAUCAUAUUAAAUUAGCAACGUGAGAUGUUUUGCCUUAUUUACAAAGUUACUCUCGGGUUGCCUAUAUGUAUGUUAAUAUGUAUGUUUUUAUUUCUAAUCCUUAAGAAAAAUAUUGCCAUUUUAGAUUUUGUAAUAGAGCAUUAAAGAUGAGACUCUUCUCAUGUAGAACACAUUGCAAAAGACACUUCAAAGAGUAGCCAACACUCUUCAGCCUAAAAUGAAGUUUGCGAAAAUGGAUGCUUAUUGUUAAAAUAGAAAAUGGGGAAGAAUAGUUCUAGAAUUGGCAAAAUAUAGGCUUUUUUCAUAAGGCUUUUAUUUGUGCACAUUCAAUUGCAAAAGAUUACUGUUACUGUAACUUUGGCACACUAAUAUAAAAAUGUAAACGAUUUCACAAAUGGACACAAAUAAUGUUCACAUUAGCUCAUAUGAGGAGAAAAAUAAGAUAGUACUUGCUAUGACAGCUCUGUUGAUGAAGACAUGAGAAUUAAUUUGAAAAGAAAUAGUGUUUUUUCUUUUUGCGAAAACAUCACUUUCAUGUCCUGUAAUCUUUUAACAUUCCUGCACUAUUCAAAAUGCAGCUCAAAGUCGAUGAAAUCAAUAAACAAUUGUGUAUG